GGAGAGUUGGCCGAGUCGGUUGAAGGCGCUCGCCUGCUAAGCGAGUAACGGGCUUGAAGCUCGUUCGAGGGUUCGAAUCCCUCACUCUCCGCCA
rnacentral:tRNA from 1 species